AUAGAAAAUGAAGAGAGCGGAAUUUGGUCUCUUGAAAGACGGUUGAUACCAAGUCACGGCGAAAAUUCCAGCGUCUUUACACCUCACUAGCAGGUGCUACGGGAAAGUCAUCACCAGGUGUCAUCGGUGUCAGGUAGUACGGUCGGGGAAAAGGAAAUCCGGAGCUGCUAAAUUGUU